rnacentral:rRNA from 1 species
GGAGGAUCAUGACGGUACCGGAAGAAUAAGCCCCGGCUAACUUCGUGCCAGCAGCCGCGGUAAUACGAAGGGUGCAAGCGUUAUUCGGAAUUACUGGGCGUAAAGGGUGCGUAGGCGGUUUGUUAAGUCAGAGGUGAAAUCCCCGGGCUCAACCUGGGAACUGCCUUUGAUACUGGCAGUCUAGAGUCCGGGAGAGGUAAGUGGAAUUCCGGGUGUAGCGGUGAAAUGCGUAGAUAUCGGGAGGAACACCAAUGGCGAAGGC